rnacentral:sRNA from 1 species
CAUAACAAAAGGAACAAGGUGGUGCUCCAAUGGCCUACCUCCUGCCUUUCUUCACUUCUUACAGAUCCUGCCACCUUUUCAACCUCUCCACACUGGCACUAACUGACACCAGGAGGUGUUGCUGACCUUCUAGGAAUGAGGCGCCAAGCUAGCCUUCAGGUUUAUAGAUCACUUCCUAGAGAGUGGUGAGGUGCUAUAUCCCAUGACAUCAGGCACACUGUUCCCCUUGCCUUGGGCAGAACCUUCCUUCCAGUGAGUACAGCAUGAAGACAUGGCAGCAAUAUAUUGCGUGAUUUAUUGAAGUUUCUUUGGACUUUAACUCUUUUGUUGCUAGGCAUUUUUAGAGAUGGGGUUCUCAUUAGAUAGCCCAGGCUGGCUUAGAACGUCCUCUGUAACUUGGGCUAGCCAUGCCUCAGUCCCUCCCCUCAAGUUCUGAUAUACAUAUAAACACCACCUUUGUUAUCUUUGAGUGCUCUGUAUGCCUGUAUGCCUGUAUGCCUAUAGAGCAUUACAGAUGGCUGUGAGUCACCCUACGCUUACCAGGAAUUGAACUCAGGACCUCUGGAAGAGCAGCCAGUGCUCUUUCACAUACACAUCUCAUACAAACGAGACGUCUACAUAGAAGUGAUCACAGUGUUUGGAAAAGAAAGCAAAGAGAACCGAAGAAAAUGUACUCAAAAGGAAAUGGGGCAGAAUCUCUUAAAAGUGUGUGUUUGAUAGACUGUGCUCGACUGUACCUCGGAGCAGAAGAAGCAAGCAGCCCAAAGCCGCCUCCUGGAGGGAAGGAGAAGCGCUAGAGAUUAAACUCACACCAGGCAGCCUCCUCUACCACUGAGCUGCACCGCAGGCUGAGGCUGCCAACUUUGAGGAGCUUAGCUGUUCUUGCCCUCAGCCGGGUCCACCUGUGCUUACUGACUUCAGCUAGCAUUGCGGCCAUGUCAUUUAGCAUAGUAAGGUGAUAUCAGGCUCUUAGGCAGCCAAGGUGGGCUUCAAGUUCUUGUGUAGCUGAGGAUGACGUCGAACUUCAGAUCCUUCUGAGUGCCCAGGAUUACAGAUGUGUGACACCACACCCAGUUUAUGUGGUACUGAGGUCUGAACUGGAGCUUUCUGCAU